ensembl:snRNA U6 U6 spliceosomal RNA
GUUCUUGCUUCGGCAGCACGUAUACUAAAAUUGGAACAAUACAGAGAUUAGCAUGGCCCCUGUGCAAGGAUGACAUGCAAAUUCAUGAAGCAUUCCGUGUGUGU